rnacentral:rRNA from 1 species
UGGGGAAUAUUGGGCAAUGGGGGAAACCCUGACCCAGCAACGCCGCGUGAGGGAAGAAGGUUUUCGGAUUGUAAACCUCUGUCCUUGGUGAAGAAAGAGAUGACGGUAGCCAAGGAGGAAGCCCCGGCUAACUACGUGCCAGCAGCCGCGGUAAUACGUAGGGUGCAAGCGUUGUUCGGAAUCACUGGGCGUAAAGAGAGCGUAGGCGGGAUUGUAAGUUAGGAGUUUAAUGCAUGGGCUUAACCCAUGAUCUGCUUUUAAUACUGCAGUUCUUGAGUAUGGGAGAGGGUGAUGGAAUUCCAGGUGUAGCGGUGGAAUGCGUAGAUAUCUGGAAGAACACCAGUAGCGAAGGCGGUCGCCUGGCCCAAUACUGACGCUGAGGCUCGAAAGCUAGGGGAGCAAACAGG